GCCCGAGACCUGGUGGGACAGCCGGGAGCCAAAGGGGAGCGUGGACUGCCCGGGCCGCGGGGAGAGAAGGGAGAAGCCGGCCGAGCGGGGGAGCCCGGAGACCCUGGGGAGGAUG